UACGAAGGGGGCUAGCGUUGCUCGGAAUCACUGGGCGUAAAGCGCGCGUAGGCGGACUUUUAAGUCGGGGGUGAAAUCCUGGAGCUCAACUCCAGAACUGCCUUCGAUACUGGGAGUCUUGAGUUCGGGAGAGGUGAGUGGAACUGCGAGUGUAGAGGUGAAAUUCGUAGAUAUUCGCAAGAACACCAGUGGCGAAGGCGGCUCACUGGCCCGAUACUGACGCUGAGGUGCGAAAGCGUGGGGAGCAAACAGG
rnacentral:rRNA from 1 species